rnacentral:rRNA from 1 species
GACGAACCGUGCGAACGUUAUUCGGAAUCACUGGGCUUAAAGGGCUCGUAGGCGGCCAACUAAGUCAGACGUGAAAUCCCUCGGCUUAACCGGGGAACUGCGUCUGAUACUGGAUGGCUCGAGUUUGGGAGAGGGAUGCGGAAUUCCAGGUGUAGCGGUGAAAUGCGUAGAUAUCUGGAGGAACACCGGUGGCGAAGGCGGCAUCCUGGACCAACACUGACGCUGAUGAGCGAAAGCCAGGGGAGCAAACGGG